UACGUAGGCAGCAAGCGUUGUUCGGAAUUACUGGGCGUAAAGGGUGCGUAGGCGGCUUUUUAAGUUUGGUGUGAAAUCUCCCGGCUCAACUGGGAGGGUGCGCCGAAUACUGAGAUGCUGGAGUGCCGGAGAGGUAAGCGGAAUUCCUGGGUGUAGCGGUGAAAUGCGUAGGUAUCAGGAGGAACACCUGCGGUGUAGACGGCUUACUGGACGGUAACUGACGCUGAGGCACGAAAGCGUGGGUAGCAAACAGG
rnacentral:rRNA from 1 species